rnacentral:rRNA from 1 species
UAGUCCACGCCGUAAACGAUGAUUACUAGUUGUUUGUGAUACACAAUAAGCGACAAAGCGAAAGCAUUAAGUAAUCCACCUGGGGAGUACGUUGGGCAACAAUGAAACUCAAAGGAAUUGACGGGGGCCCGCACAAGCGGAGGAACAUGUGGUUUAAUUCGAUUGAUACGCGAGGAACCUUACCUGGACUUAAAUGGGGGAGUGACAUGCUUAGAGAUAGGCUUUCUUCGGACACUCUUCAAGGUGCUGCAUGGUUGUCGUCAGCUCGUGCCGUGAGGUGUCGGGUUAAGUCCCAUAACGAGCGCAACCCACGUCUUUAGUUACCAGCACGUCAAGGUGGGCACUCUAGAGAGACUGCCGAUGUAAACCGCGAGGAAGGUGUGGAUGACGUCAAAUCAGCACGGCCCUUACGUCCAGGGCUACACACGUGUUACAAUGGCCGGUACAGAGGGCAGCUACAGGGUGACCUGAUGCGAAUCUCCAAAACCGGUCUCAGUUCGGAUCGAAGUCUGCAACCCGAC